rnacentral:rRNA from 1 species
CCUACGGGUGGCUGCAGUGGGGAAUAUUGGACAAUGGGCGAAAGCCUGAUCCAGCCAUGCCGCGUGUGUGAAGAAGGCCCUCGGGUUGUAAAGCACUUUCAGUGGGGAAGAAAGCCUUGGGGCUAAUACCCUCGAGGAAGGACAUCACCCACAGAAGAAGCACCGGCUAACUCCGUGCCAGCAGCCGCGGUAAUACGGAGGGUGCGAGCGUUAAUCGGAAUUACUGGGCGUAAAGCGCGCGUAGGCGGUCUGAUAAGCCGGUUGUGAAAGCCCCGGGCUCAACCUGGGAACGGCAUCCGGAACUGUCAGGCUAGAGUGCAGGAGAGGAAGGUAGAAUUCCCGGUGUAGCGGUGAAAUGCGUAGAGAUCGGGAGGAAUACCAGUGGCGAAGGCGGCCUUCUGGACUGACACUGACGCUGAGGUGCGAAAGCGUGGGUAGCAAACAGGAUUAGAUACCCGAGUAGUC